AGGCCAGUAGCUCAAUUGGUAGAGCACUCGUCUCCAAAACGAGCGGUUGAGGGUUCGAGUCCUUCCUGGCCUGCCU
rnacentral:tRNA from 3 species